AGACCAAGAUCAUUCAACGAGCACUUACAAAGCUCAGUUUUGAAUGAAGCAAUGCACUAGAACUCGAGUGUCAAUACGUGGCCAGAGGCUACUGCAAAUUGUAGAUGAAGAAAGCAGUUGUGUUUCUGCCUUGCGAGUGAGAGCUCCUACAGCAGCAGUACUAGCAGCAGAUUCUGCUCCCUUGCCUGCUCUUUUUCCCAAACAGCAGUUGAAUUUGACAAACUUAAGGUAGCAGCCUCAGAAGUUUCAACCAAACACUAAGGGUAAAUAUGUCUGAAAAGUGAGUGUGCAUGCAGAAAUGCAAAAAAAGUCUCUUUAAUUGGUUGAUGGAGGUAGAAUACGGGGUCUGCCUCUGUCCUUCUGGUAUCAGAAGUUCGACCAGUUAUUUAUGGCCUCUGCUCUUCCUGUAACACAUUAAAGCCCUAUACAUGUGUACUGCAAGUUUUAUGCAGGUGUUACAGUUCUUAGUUUAAGAGAGGCUAACUGUAUUGAGAAGGGAAAAGAUUACUGAGAAUGCAGGAGUUGCUGUUUAGAAUUGAGGUUAAGUUUGGUUUUUAAAUUUGGCUGUUGAGAAUGAAACCAAGCAAGAUAGGUGCUGUGGGGCAAACUACCAGUAAUAAGGGAACAUGACUCAUUGCUUGGUAGUUAAAAAAAAAGUAACAAAUAGCUGGUAUGGACUGUGACCAUAAAACGCUUUAAUACUCUGUGGCUAAAAUAACUUUUUCUUGGAGAAGAAUUGUAAAGGAAACAGCUAACUUUUCUAAAAAGGCUUCUUUAACUAUUGUAAUCAAGUGGUGAGGGAAUCUUUGUCACUGGGGAGUGUGUAUAUACCUGGAAGGCAGAUGCAGAGAUACGUUAUUGUGCGUUGUACCAGAGAGCCGACAUUGGUUUGCCAGGUCAGGGAUAAAAUCCAAAGGAUUCCUUUUCUGCAUGGAAAUAAGAGAUAGCUUUUGCUGAAACUAGCUAAAGCUAAAUGUUAGCAUUGCUGCCUUUUUAUUAAAACAAAUAUUGUCUUGGUUGAAACCAGGUACUCUAUUUCAACUACUGUCUCUUGAGUAGCCAGAGUUGUCUUGAGUGAGAAUUUCAGAUGUGUUAAACAUCCUUAUCGUAGUUCAAGGUUGCGGAGAUGUAGGAACACUAAUUUGGGCACAAAGUAAAAUACAAGAAACUUCAUUUAAACAUUGAGUGAGUAUGGGUUAUUUUUUUUAAGUGGCAAGGGUGGUCAAGCAUUGGAACAGACUGCCCAGGAAAGUUAUGGAGUGCCUGUCCUUGGAGGUAUUCAAAACCAAACUGGAUGUGGCCCUGAGUGGCCUGCUCUAGUUGACCUUGGCUUGAGCCAGGGAUCUUGGACUGGGUGAUCUACAAAUGUCCCUUCCAACAUCUACUUGUAUGAUUCUGUAAGUCUUCCACAGUAUCAGAAGUUGAACAUCUGCACUUUGUGAUAAGAGGAUGGCAUAGGCAUCUUGUUGAAAGCUUUGCAGCAAAUGAAUAGUGGCUGUGGCAUGAAACACAAGCUUGUCUAGAAUAUAAUUCCAGGUCUUUUCUUUUACAGGAUAUAAAUAAGAAGCGUUGCUAUCGAGUUUCAUCCAAAACUCUUGGGGAAAAUGCUUUGCUCAGUGUUUGUGACUGCCAGUGAAGUCUAUUCUCUAGCUGCUUACUGGAGAGGGAAGUUCUGGUAGUCUGGCUCAGCUAGCAGAUACUAACUCAAGGACCAGUGCAGGCAGUCUGAUUCCUUGAGUUUGAACAGCAUGUGUACAGGAUGUGGACUAGAAAACACUGUGAACAGCAAGUGAAUUAUAAGAUCCUUUUGGCUGUUGAGCUUUCUGCACGAGAGAGUCAGUUUCUUAGAAAAUAGAUAGCUAUGCAGAAGGACAAGGAAAAUGGAGUACUUAAACCUGCUGAUGGCCUGCGUGAAGAACGCACCAAAGUUACGACUCUGAUUCUUGUAAUCCAAGGAAGCUGAAUAAAAGGUUUUUCAGUGCAGUCGUGAUACUGGUAUUCAUCCUAGUGGUGCUUCCUGUUGCCCACACCGUAUUUCUCUGAGGAGUACUGAGACUGAGUUUCUUUUAACUUACCUAUGCUUUCAUUUAGCCUGGGAGGCAGGAAGUACUUUCUCUCUUUUGACAAUAUCUAGCAACUUUAUCCCAGCUUCUCCAGAGUUUUUGGGUCUGGAGUAGAGUCCUGAUUAAGUAUCUGUUCUUGCAAACUUGUCAGCUCUGCUUCUCCUACACUGUUGCAGCACAACUUAAGCUUAUUUUGGAAAGCAUGGUUUCCUUGAAGCAAUAGGUAAACAAUGACACAAGAGCAAGUCAGCAUAUGGUAGGUGUCUAAUUUCCUCUCACAGGUGUGUACUCUUUCUUGUGCUAAAUCUUUUCUUGCGCUAAAUCUUUUCUUGCUAGUUUGGUUGCUUUUUAGCCAAAUGAGCAAAAUAAAAGAUUUUUUUCUUAAUGUUUUUGUCACCUGCUUCUUUCAUAUGAAUUUGCUGUUUGGUUUUUCAGGACAUCAGCUAAGUAAUUCCUUUGUGUCAUAUGUAUAUGAGCUGGAGGAUGCAGUUAUGUUCAGAACUUUCAAUUAAGAAAAGUUAAGGAGGUGAAAGAGUAGAAUUCUCUCCAGCCUCCUGAUUAUUGGAAAGUACCUAUAGUUUGUUCCAUUUCUAGGGUGUGCACAGACUUAAUCUAAAUCCAUAAUGAAGCUUUUGUAAAGCCUGCCAAA